UCCGUAGGCGGUGCGGCAAGUCGGAAGUGAAAUCUCUGGGCUUAACUCAGAGGCUGCUUCCGAAACUGCCGUGCUCGAGUGUGAGAGAGGCGAGUGGAAUUACGGGUGUAGCGGUGAAAUGCGUAGAUAUCCGUAGGAACACCCGAGGCGAAAGCGGCUCGCUGGAUCACAACUGACGCUGAGGGACGAAAGCUAGGGGAGCAAACAGGAUUAGAUACCCUGGUAGUCCUAGCCCUAAACCAUCAGGACUUGGGGUUUGCCCUGUACGGGGCAAGUCCCGGAGCUAACGCGUUAAGUCCUGCGCCUGGGGAGUACGGUCGCAAGGCUGAA
rnacentral:rRNA from 1 species